GGGUUUGAGGCUGUAGCGUCGGUUUUGCAAAAACCGAAGUGGGGUUUACCCCAAACCCU
rnacentral:tRNA from 1 species